UUCCGUAGGUGAACCUGCGGAAGGAUCAUUAAUUACGAAAGCUGUAGCCCCUCCGGGGGCUAUUGCAUCCACCCUUUGUCUACGUGUACCUCUGUUGUUUCCUCGGCAGGCUUGCCUGCCGCCAGGAACCCCCUUUAAACCUUUGUAAUUGCAGUAUUAACAUCUGAUAAUUAUUCUAAAUUUAUUACAACUUUCAACAAUGGAUCUCUUGGUUCUGGCAUCGAUGAAGAACGCAGCGAAAUGCGAAAAGUAGUGUGAAUUGCAGAAUUCCGUGAAUCAUCGAAUCUUUGAACGCACAUUGCGCCCCUCGGUAUUCCGUGGGGCAUGCCUGUUCGAGCGUCAUUUACACCCUCAAGCUCUGCUUGGUGUUGGGCGUCUGUCCUGCUUUAAGUGUGGACUCGCCUCAAAGUCAUUGGCAGCGGUCGUGCCAGCUUCUCACGCAGCACAUUUGCGUUCCUUGAAGCUUGGUGGAUCAGCGUCCAGUAAGCUCUUUUAUGACUUGACCUCGGAUCAGGUAGGGAUACCCGCUGAAC
rnacentral:rRNA from 1 species